rnacentral:rRNA from 1 species
CCUACGGGGGGCAGCAGUGAGGAAUAUUGGUCAAUGGCCGGAAGGCUGAACCAGCCAAGUCGCGUGAGGGAAUAAGGCCCUAUGGGUCGUAAACCUCUUUUGUCAGGGAGCAAAGGCGUCCACGAGUGGACGAAAGGAGAGUACCCGGAGAAAAAGCAUCGGCUAACUCCGUGCCAGCAGCCGCGGUAAUACGGAGGAUGCGAGCGUUAUCCGGAUUUAUUGGGUUUAAAGGGUGCGUAGGCGGGCUUUUAAGUCAGCGGUAAAAAUUCGGGGCUCAACCCCGUCCGGCCGUUGAAACUGGGGGC